rnacentral:piRNA from 1 species
UGACUUUCUGCUGUCUACACUUACACAACCU